UACGGAGGAUCCAAGCGUUGUCCGGAUUUAUUGGGUUUAAAGGGUGCGUAGGCGGCCCGUUAAGUCAGUGGUGAAAGUUUGCGGCUUAACCGUAAAAUUGCCAUUGAAACUGAUGGGCUUGAGUAUGGUUGAGGUGGGCGGAAUGUGUCAUGUAGCGGUGAAAUGCUUAGAUAUGACACAGAACACCGAUUGCGAAGGCAGCUCACUAAGCUGUAACUGACACUGAGGCGCGAAAGUGUGGGUAGCAAACAGG
rnacentral:rRNA from 1 species